rnacentral:rRNA from 1 species
UCAGCAGGGACGAAGCCGUGAGGUGACGGUACCUGCAGAAGAAGCACCGGCCAACUACGUGCCAGCAGCCGCGGUAAUACGUAGGGUGCAAGCGUUGUCCGGAAUUAUUGGGCGUAAAGAGCUCGUAGGCGGUCUGUCGCGUCGGCUGUGAAAACCCGGAGCUCAACUCCGGGCCUGCAGUCGAUACGGGCAAACUGGAGUGUUGCAGGGGAGACUGGAAUUCCUGGUGUAGCGGUGAAAUGCGCAGAUAUCAGGAGGAACACCGGUGGCGAAGGCGGGUCUCUGGGCAACAACUGACGCUGAGGAGCGAAAGCGUGGGGAGCGAACAGGAUUAGAUACCCUGGUAGUCCACGCCGUAAACGUUGGGCGCUAGGUGUGGGGCUCAUUCCACGAGUUCCGUGCCGCAGCUAACGCAUUAAGCGCCCCGCCUGGGGAGUACGGCCGCAAGGCUAAAACUCAAAGGAAUUGACGGGGGCCCGCACAAGCGGCGGAGCAUGUUGCUUAAUUCGAUGCAACGCGAAGAACCUUACCUAGGCUUGACAUGCACGGAAAUCUCGCAGAGAUGCGGGGUCCGUAAGGGCCGUGCACAGGUGGUGCAUGGUUGUCGUCAGCUCGUGUCG